rfam:Salmo salar isolate Sally breed double haploid chromosome ssa22, whole genome shotgun sequence.
CUCCCUGUGGCUCAGUUGGUAGAGCAUGGUGUUUGCAACACCAGGGCUGUGGGUUUGAUUCCACGGGGGGC